AAAUAAAUAAAUAAAUAAAUAAAUAAAUAAAUAAUAAAAUAAAAUAGGAAAAAAUAUGUACUAAUAAAACAAAAAUGAACUUAUUAAAAUAUCAUAAUAAGCUAAAAAGUAGAACAUUAAUAACAUAAAAAAAAAAUAUAUAUAUAUAUAUAUAUAUAUAACUUCUGUUUUGUUUUUUUAAUUAUUUAAAAUAACAUUUUUAUUACUUUUUAAAAAUUCAAUUAAACAUUAUGAAAUAUAUGAAUUUACAAAAAACACUACUAAAAAAGAGUAAUGACAAGAUGAAUACAAAAAAGGGAGAUCCCCGAUUUUACUAUGCAUGUUAUGUAAUUAUAGUCUUGACAAUAAUAUUGUCUAAAUUUGUUGUAAUACCUUUAAUUGCCCAAAUGUUUUUAUACACAUUUAUAACUAUUUAUAUUGGAAGUCAUGAUAGUUUGAAGCAAUUAGAAGCUGAUGAUAAGUGUAAAAAGGCUGAUAAUAUAACUGCCUACGACGCUAUCAUGUUUCCAAUUAUUGGAUCUGGAGCUUUACUAACACUAUAUUUUGCAUACAAAUUUCUAGAUCCAUAUUAUGUAAAUAUGUUAUUAACUGUUUACUUGACGUUAGCUGGUAUAUUUUCAUUACAAGGUGUUUGUUCUAAUAUUUUGGUAAAUAUAUAAAUAUAUAUUACCAAAAUAUAUAUAUAUAUAUAUAUAUAUUUUGGUUAGUUAUCACAGUUUAAAAAAAUGGAUAUGCUGGCAACAGAUAUAUGUGUUAUUUAUGUUUUAUACCCAAAUGAAUUGUACCUAUAUAUAUAUAUAUAUAU
rnacentral:lncRNA from 1 species